AUACUUACUUGGCAGAGGAAAUCCCAUGAUCAAGAAGGUGGUUCUCCCAGGGCGAAUCUUACCCAUUGCCCUCAGGGUGUGUUGACUUCUGCGAUUUCCUCAAAUAGAGGAAACUCGACUGUGUAAUUUAUGCAAGUGGAGAACAGCUUGUGCGAUUUCCCCUG
ensembl:snRNA U1 U1 spliceosomal RNA